AAAUGAGACCACUCUGACCAUUUUACUCGCCCUAGCAGAGCUGGUUAGGCAGUUUUUGUGUUAAUCAGAGCAUUGGUGACUGUAACUGUGCUGCUGGAAACAAUUUAAUUACGCUUUUUUGCCGACUUUUACUGACACUGGCCAUAUUCAAUGGGUAUUGAUCACUAGUAAUUACUUAUUCUGUGCUCUGGUACACUCAGAGAGAGUGCUCUGAAAUCGGACAAGCUAGCCAGAGCGAAUUUACGAAAGCACCCGAAUGUCUAUUGAGAACGCACAAAAACUAUACCAUUUAGCUAAACUAAGAAUUACGGGAAUAAUCAAUUCAAUAAACGUUGGGCAGUUAGAUAGCCUAUAGUUAUUAUACUUGGCCAGGUCGCAAUUGUAAAUGAGAACUUGUUCUCAACUUGCCUACCUGGUUAAAUAAAGGUGAAAUAAAUAAAAUAAAUAAAAUACUGUCAAGUUUAAUGUACAGUAUAACUACUAAAGUUAGGUAGAUAGCUAACGUACCGGUACAUACUGCUGUAAUGAUAUGCUAUGUGGUUAGUAAGGACAGCGUAGCUAACAAAUUGUCAGCCAACAUAACGUUAUUUGAAAAGUUAUUACUUUAUUACAUUGAGUAGCAAGCUACCAUGAGGACACGCUCCAUUGACUCUGCGGCUUGAGCAUGCUUUUGGUGCACAGUCAAUAGCGCGCUGGAUUUCAGGCAAGAAGGUUGGUGGUUCGAAACCUGCUCCCCCUGCUUGUUUCAUUUGAAGUUUAUUUGAAAUGAUCAGUUUAUUAUUUGGUUUAUAGUGCCCAUUCUUUGUCAGUUAGAGACACGGUAGUGCAUUGGGACCUAAAAGCAUAAUCACUUCUCUAACUCCCCCUGUUCGUUAGGGCAAAUCUGGUCUGUGAUAGGAUUUUUUUUUACACACCUAUCUCAGCUAUUAGACUAUUCUUUAGUAAAGGUUGAAUAGUCUAUUGUUCAGCUAUUAGGCCACCUCCCCAACUUGCAACAAAUGGAUAUAUCGAGAGCAAAACUUUUUUAUUUAAAAUCAAAAAUAAUAGUUCUGAAAGCAAAAACGAGGCUUCAAAGUAAAACAAAUAUUUUGCAAUCAAAUAUGUUGUAAUAGAGCGCAAAACUUUAUGCUUUUUAUUCCCCAAAAAUAUAUUGAGAACAAAAAAUGUAUUUGAAAACAAAACUCCAAUUUAAUUUCACUAUCAACCACCCUCCAUGUUGGCCAUUUUUGAGUGUCGGUUUGGCUACAACCAAUACUGUUUCUUUCCAACACAAAGGAUGUCAUAGCGGACACUUAUGAAGAAGGACUGUGUGAUGAUGGCAUCUUAGAUACAACAUUGUCAUCUUUGGCGGUAUAGAUGGAUUUUCAAGGAAGAGUGAGAGCUAAUGAAGGGGUCGAAAAUGUAGAUAUUGCCAGAUGUUCACUGUCCGAGGAACAGGCCAUGGAAGCUUUAUUGCUGGCAAAAGUGUCCAUAACCAGAGCUGUGGCAUAUCGGAAUGCUCCAAACACCUGUGCACAUUUUUGUUUUUGCCACUACACAUCUGAUUCAACUGAUCAAGUCAUCAUCAAGCAUCAUGUGGUUAAUAUCAGCUGUGUUGGUGAACCCCUCCCGCAUCUGAACUGGCUGACACAGAGGGCACAGUGUGAUCAUAGAUGAACAAUCGAGAGCAUCCUAUUGGGCUGUAUCUCCGACUGGUAUGAAAACUGCUCCGCCCACAACCGUAAGGCUCUCCAGAGGGUAGUGAGGUCUGCACAACGCAUCAUCGGGGGCAAACUACCUGCCCUUCAGGACACCUACACCACCCGAUGUCACAGGAAGGCAAAAAGAUCAUCAAGGACAACAACCACCUGAGCCUGUUCACCCCGCUAUCAUCCAGAAUGCGAGGUCACUACAGGUGCAUCAAAGCUGGGACUAAGAGACUGAAAAACAGCUUCUAUCUCAAGCCCAUCAGACUGUUAAACAGCCAUCACUAACAUUGGGUGGCUGCUGCCAACAUACUGACUCAAAUCUCUAACCACUUUAAUAAUUACAAAUUGGAUGUAAUAAAUGGAUCACUAGUCACUUUAAACAAUGCCACUUUAUUUAAUGUUUACAUACCCUACAUUACUCAUCUCAUAUGCAUACACUGUACUCUAUACCAUCUACUGCAUCUUGCCUAUGCCGCAUGGCCAUCGCUCAUCCAUAUAUUUAUAUGUACAUAUUCUUAUUAAUUCCUUUACACUUGUGUGUAUAAGGUAGUUGUUUUGAAAUUGUUAGAUUACUUGUUAGAUAUUACUGCACGGUCGGAGCUAGAAGCAAAAGCAUUUUGCUACACUCACAUUAACAUCUGCUAACCAUGUGUAUGUGACCAAUCAAAUUUGCUUUGAUUUGAUUUGAUAUAAUAUUACAAUUAUCGUAAUUACAAUGCAUGCUCU
rnacentral:lncRNA from 1 species